rnacentral:rRNA from 1 species
UAGAGUUUGAUCAUGGCUCAGAUUGAACGCUGGCGGCAUGCUUUACACAUGCAAGUCGAACGGCAGCGCGGGCUUCGGCCUGGCGGCGAGUGGCGAACGGGUGAGUAAUAUAUCGGAACGUGCCCAAGAGUGGGGGAUAACGUAGCGAAAGUNNCGCUAAUACCGCAUACGAUCUAUGGAUGAAAGCAGGGGACCGCAAGGCCUUGUGCUCCUGGAGCGGCCGAUAUCUGAUUAGCUAGUUGGUGAGGUAAAGGCUCACCAAGGCGACGAUCAGUAGCUGGUCUGAGAGGACGACCAGCCACACUGGAACUGAGACACGGUCCAGACUCCUACGGGAGGCAGCAGUGGGGAAUUUUGGACAAUGGGGGCAACCCUGAUCCAGCAAUGCCGCGUGAGUGAAGAAGGCCUUCGGGUUGUAAAGCUCUUUUGUCAGGGAAGAAAAGGGUACGGCUAAUAUCCGUACCUCAUGACGGUACCUGAAGAAUAAGCACCGGCUAACUACGUGCCAGCAGCCGCGGUAAUACGUAGGGUGCAAGCGUUAAUCGGAAUUACUGGGCGUAAAGCGUGCGCAGGCGGUUUUGUAAGUCUGACGUGAAAUCCCCGGGCUUAACCUGGGAAUGGCGUUGGAGACUGCAAGGCUGGAAUCUGGCAGAGGGGGGUAGAAUUCCACGUGUAGCAGUGAAAUGCGUAGAGAUGUGGAGGAACACCGAUGGCGAAGGCAGCCCCCUGGGCUAAGAUUGACGCUCAUGCACGAAAGCGUGGGGAGCAAACAGGAUUAGAUACCCUGGUAGUCCACGCCCUAAACGAUGUCUACUAGUUGUUGGGUCUUAAUUGACUUAGUAACGCAGCUAACGCGUGAAGUAGACCGCCUGGGGAGUACGGUCGCAAGAUUAAAACUCAAAGGAAUUGACGGGGACCCGCACAAGCGGUGGAUGAUGUGGAUUAAUUUGAUGCAACGCGA